UACGUAGGGUGCGAGCGUUGUCCGGAAUUACUGGGCGUAAAGAGCUCGUAGGUGGUUUGUCGCGUCGUCUGUGAAAUUCCGGGGCUUAACUUCGGGCGUGCAGGCGAUACGGGCAAUACUUGAGUGCUGUAGGGGAGACUGGAAUUCCUGGUGUAGCGGUGGAAUGCGCAGAUAUCAGGAGGAACACCGAUGGCGAAGGCAGGUCUCUGGGCAGUAACUGACGCUGAGGAGCGAAAGCAUGGGUAGCGAACAGGAUUAGA
rnacentral:rRNA from 1 species